rnacentral:rRNA from 1 species
GACGAACGCUGGCGGCGUGCUUAACACAUGCAAGUCGAGCGGUAAGGCCCUUUCGGGGGUACACGAGCGGCGAACGGGUGAGUAACACGUGGGUGACCUGCCCUCAGCUCUGGGAUAAGCCUGGGAAACUGGGUCUAAUACUGGAUAUGACUCCACGGUGCAUGUCGUGGGGUGGAAAGCCUUGUGCGGCUGAGGAUGGGCCCGCGGCCUAUCAGCUUGUUGGGGGGUGAUGGCCUACCAAGGCGACGACGGGUAGCCGGCCUGAGAGGGCGACCGGCCACACUGGGACUGAGACACGGCCCAGACUCCUACGGGAGGCAGCAGUGGGGAAUCUUGCGCAAUGGGCGAAAGCCUGACGCAGCGACGCCGCGUGAGGGA